UACAGAGGUCCCAAGCGUUGUUCGGAUUCACUGGGCGUAAAGGGUGCGUAGGUGGCUCGGUAAGUCUGGUGUGAAAUCUCGGAGCCUAACUCCGAAACUGCAUCGGAUACUAUUGAGCUUGAGGUCUGGAGGGGAGACUGGAAUUCUCGGUGUAGCAGUGAAAUGCGUAGAUAUCGAGAGGAACGCCAAUGGCGAAGGCUGGUCUCUGGACAGAUCCUGACACUGAGGCACGAAAGCUAGGGGAG
rnacentral:rRNA from 1 species